UACGGGGGGGGCAAGCGUUGUUCGGAAUUACUGGGCGUAAAGGGCUCGUAGGCGGCCAACUAAGUCAGACGUGAAAUCCCUCAGCUUAACUGGGGAACUGCGUCUGAUACUGGAUGGCUUGGAUUCGGGAGAGGAAUGCGGAAUUCCAGGUGUAGCGGUGAAAUGCGUAGAUAUCUGGAGGAACACCGGUGGCGAAGGCGGCAUUCUGGACUGCAACUGACACUGAAAGACGAAAGCCAGGGGAGCAAACGGG
rnacentral:rRNA from 1 species